AUGGCAGUACUCCCACUCCUCUCUAUUUUGUAUUUGUGGAGCUCUUUGUGCUUUUCCUAUCAGUUUUAUCCUUUGAUUUAAUGUGAUCCUCUAACCACCCUAUGCAGGAUCUGGUAUCCUGGUGAUGGGGAAACCAAGGACCAGAGAAGAUAAAUCAUUUUCACAAGGUGAUUUAAAGGAAUAACAAUCCAUGUUUCCCAGCUCCUGUUGCAUUUUUUUCCAGUAGGCUGAGCAUGUUUCCCCAGCUGGAGGAGAGGGUUUCCAGGAAGAGCCUGUCCCAAGGAAGAAUUUUUUUGCUUCGGCCUGGCAUGACCUACCACAGAGGUCACCUGGAUCUGUUUUGAGUCCUGUCCAAGAGGACCUCCUAGGUGUAGCGUGGUCUGCUGAAGGAGAGCCUCAUUCACAUCUGAAUAGUAGGAUGCUCAGAUCUGGGGAACCCCAGCUUGGGAAUCCCCAAAGGACCCAUGGAGAUGCCCAUCAGAGUCCACUUUCACCAGCUGCCUGCAGGAAAGCAGGGAUGCAUCCACCCAGGGCUCUCAGCAUCUCAGUGCUGGACAGAACUCCUGUUCUUAGAAAACAGCCUUCAUUAAAAUGCACUCAUACUAAAG